AACCAUAAAACUUAGUUUAAUGACAUCACGUGUUCUCUGAGAGCCAUUCAGGGCUUUUGCUUAGGGCCAUCCACAUAAAUAACCUUCAAAAGUUUUAAACUACUAAAUUCACAUAGAAGCCAUGAGUAUUUCUGCUAAUGUUCUCAUGUUCUCAGUUAAACUAAAAGCCCUUUGCUCAAUAAUAAUGAUGAUGUUAAUAGUAAUAAUAAUGCGGGAUUUUUUUUAAAAAAUGGAACUUUGGUCUGUGGUUGGGGCCAUUUUAAGUUCACACUGGGUUGACACGGAUGACAGGGGAAAGAUUUAUUGAUGGCCCGCACCCCAACAAAAGAAGCCAGAAUCGAAACCUCCCCGCAGAAAUGGAACUUCUCUUUGUCUUAAAUUGCCAAGUAACAAUGUUGCUGCUAAAGUUAGCUUCAGCACCUUCACAUGCUAUGUAAUGAUGAGUAAUGCAUGGAUAUAUUCCAAUUUUCAAUGUAACAUUACGUCAAAUGUUUGCUAAUUAAAUGCACUUAUGAAUAAACAUUCUCAGUGCUGGGGAAACCCCAACGUGUUGAUAAACGUAAAAUAA